CGUCCCUCCCCUAUACCUCUCCAUCCCCAACUCAUUCAACCAGGGAAGCAGGAGAAUCAGAAACCUCUCCCUCUCUCUCUCUCUCCACUUUCCCUCUCUAUUUUCUCCGUUUCACACACACCAGAUAUAUACACACACAUAUAUAUAGGCACACACAUAUAGAUUCUCUCUCUCUCUCUCUCUCUAAAUUGUCUCCGUCUGCCGGUGGUUCGCCCAAGCACGAAACGUUCUGGGAGAAGCUUUUGAAGCGCUGAAAUUUAUGGAACAGGGAAGAGGGAUUAGGGUUUCAGCUGCUGUGAUUCACUGGCCAAAUGUGACUAUGAUGGGAUUAUUGGUGUGACUGACAGCUGGAGUAGUUUAUUGAUAUAAUUUUGUUUAUAUGAGCAAGCAUGGGGUCUGUCUGUUGUGUUGCUGCUAAGGAUAGAACGGUUACAAAUGGGUCUACCAGUGAAAUUAUGCACAGGAACAUUCGGCAUUCCCCAUCAUGGAGCUUUCGAUGGGAUAACCGGGUGCGAGUAGUGGGGGAGGAAACUUCUGUAAAUUGGAUUUCCGAUGGGGUCACCCGCAAUGAUCCACUAGAUGUUAAAUCUGGACCAACUAUUGAAACCACACAUGCAUCUGAAGAAGGUAGUCCAUUGGAUAGUUUUCAAUCACUUGUAUGGCAGAAGUCCCCAGUUUCUGAUGUAAAUAACGGGGCUACAAGGCUCACUACUUCUGGUACAUCUUUAUGCUGCUUCUCAUCUCAUUUCAUUUUAUAAAUGUAACGCUCUCUGAAGAAAAAAAGUACUCUUAUGGAGAUUACGCAAGUUUUCUUUUCUUUUUCCUACUUGAUUGUGUGAGUGCUGUGUUUAUUGUUCCUGGGAACUAAACCUAGUAUUUUGCAAUGUCGGAAUUUCGUGAGACAUUAAAUAAUCAGUCCUUGACAUAAAAAUACAUAGUUAAAAGUACAUAGUUAUGGUUGUAUACUGGGCUAAAAGCAAUGCCAAUUAGUGCGACAGAAAACAUCAUUCUAGUCUAAGAAUAAAAACUUCAAUGUUACACUGAAGUGGCAGUAUGUAGGGUGAGGUUCUUUCGAUUUCGCACAUUCAUCAUCUAUACUGCUGCAUAUGUCACAUAUACUAGCUGUACAGAGCAGCUUUAAGGCGAACACACAACUACACAAGCUGAUUGACUGGAAAACCAAGUAUAGGAAAAGGAAAAGGGUGAACAACUUGUGAUUCUGCAUGAGGCAGUCACUAUUGAUGAUUAAGCAGGGAUGAUGGGUGACUUUGAGAGUAACUUUGCUGGCUACUAAGAUAGGUGGUGUUAUACUAUAAUUUAGUCCUUUCCUAAGUAGAAUAAUACAAGCUUCAUAGGCAAAUACUUGGUUUCUGUGUUAUAUGUUUGCAUAAAAUUUUCCUGAUCUCCUCUUAGAUGGCAGUUUCAUGUGUAAUGACGUAUAUGAUAAUAUUCAAAUUAUUGUUGAAGCAAACUAUUUUGGCAACCAGUGUUACUGAUACCAUGCUUCAAGGCCACAGAAACUGUUUAACUCAACCAUCACUUCGUAUCUAAGUCUAUCCACCUUAUGCACGAGUUGAUGAACAUUGAUAAGUUUGGAAAUAUAUAAUUUCGUAUCACUUUGAUUGUUCAAGAGUUCUGGAAUGGUUAUAUAUACAGGUUUCCUGAUUAGUUUAAUAGUUUCAAAUAUCUGAUGAGUGGUUUUACAUCACCAUGACAAACUGAAAAACGGUGGAUGUUUCUCUGAGUAGCCAAAUAACUGCAUAACAUCUUCACUAUCUAGGUCUACUGUUGAGAAAGUUCGAUGGAGACCUAGUGGAUGAGGAUCAAAGAGUCAGAAAUCUUGUGAAGGAUUUUAGGCGCAUCUUUCAAGGACGAGGUAGUUUAUGCCUCAAGCCUUAGUUCAUGGGUUGUACAUAUAUACAACCAUGAAAAACUUUAUGCGUACACAAGCAGAUGAUAGAUGCCAAUUCUCAUCUAUGCUGUGGUAGUUGAUAAUUUCCUCUCUUAUUUAUUCUAUGUUAGUGGAGUGAUGGGGCUUUCAUCUUGCACUUUUCGAAUUAUUCUCUUGUAUCUGCAAAUGAAAUUAGUUUUUUUUUUUUUAACUCUAUGGGCUGAUUGGCAAUUAUACUCAAAAUUUAGUAGUAGUAGGAUGCUUUAACAACUGUUUCGUGGAGUGCAUUCAAAUAUUCCAUUUGCAACAUCUUGCUUCUAUUGUGGACAUUUGGGAAAAUAUUUUAUUUUACUGCUAUGGUGCAUCAUGGUCAGCCCUGCUGCAUUGGGGAAAACACUAAUUAUUGCUGCAUCAAUCAUGUUAUUUAGAUGUAUCUUGGUGUUCUUUACUGAAUAAUUAGCAAAUUGCCGAAAAAAAGCAAAAAAAAGUCAGCAAUUUUGACAUCAAAUCUUGCCACUUUUGGUAAGGUGGUUUUAAGCCCCGAGGUACCUAUUAUCUUGUCUGAAUUAUGAUGAAUUUUUUUUGGUUGCAGAUCCUUUAACCUGUACAAAUUCUACAGAUGUUAGGGAGUCAACUGCAUCUCCUGCAGUUUCUUGUCCAUCUCCCGUGAAGUUAUCUCCUUCAGCACCUUCAGUUUCCUCUCUGUCAACAUCACCUUUGUCAUCCCAAAGCCACCCGCUUCCUGCAAGCUCAACUCCAUCAAGAUGGCCUCGCCGUUCUCCUGGGCACCAACUCUUACGGCAAGUAUCUGACAGCCUUGUUCCAACAAUCAAGUCUCCAACUUUGUCAGUUUCUGAAGAAACAUCAUCUUUUAUGCUUCCUGGAUGGAGCCAUGAGUCAACUAGGGCUUCCCAUGGUGGGUCAUCAGACAGUUGGUCUACACCAACCUUCCCUGAUAUCAUGUCAACUUCCCGUAGAGAAAGGUGGUCUUUUGACAGUGAAACAUUGGGUUUUGUUCGUGACAAAAUAACCAGAUCUAGUGGUAGAAAUUCUGGUUAUUCCUUUGAUCUCCAAAGCUGUGGCAUUUGUGCGAAACUUUUGACUGAGAAAUCUUCAUGGGGCAGCCAGAAAAUUAUAGCAACUAAUGAGCUUGCAGUGGUUGCUGUUUUAAUUUGUGGGCACGUUUACCAUGCAGAGUGCUUGGAAAAUAUGACCUCUGAUAUUAACAAGUAUGAUCCAGCUUGUCCAAUCUGUACCUUUGGGGAGAAACAGGCACAGAAAAUGUCGGAGAAAGCUUUGAGAGCCGAAUUUGAGUUAAAGACUAGAAAGAGAUCUAGGAACAGGAUUGCUGAUAGUGACCUUAAUAGCGAUCUUGUUGCUUUUGAUCGUCAGAAAAGUAGUGGACAUGACGGAAGAGGUCCUAAGAUGAGUUCCAGUUCCAGCAUGAAGGGCUCUUUGGCGAAGCCUUUCUUGAGGCGUCACUUUUCUUUUGGAUCUAAAGGCAGUAGAUCAAUGUCAGAGAAUCAUUCUUCCUGGAAGAGGGGAUUCUUCUGGGCAAAAUCGAGAAAGGAUUAAGUUCUGUCUAGAGUUACAAAGAUUCCACAGUUGUUCUUCAGAUGGGCUACGAAAUGCAUGCAGGGAGCAGGCAAUCAGCCAUAAAUUCAACCCUGUCAAGGAAGCUGGCAUUGUCUCGUGCAAAUGUAGGUUAGCUUUUGAAGAUACACUGCAAAGGGAAGACCAUACAGAUGGGGAAAUGAAUUCAUUAUAAUAUAGGAAAAAGGAAAGAUGAUAGGGGUCAGGGCGUCCGUGCAUCAUGAAACUAGUUCUCUUUCAUUUUGUACGAUGGCUGUUUACUGUUUAAUUUCAUGAAAUUAGUUUGGAUAUAUGCGUAGCGUUUUACCAUCGCAUUUCUAAAUCGAUAUUCUAUGGGCCGAAUUACGCGUUGGAGACAUCAUUGGGUUGCUCCUCUCAAUCCCAUCUCUAUCUAUUGACGGAUCCGGAUCAUGAUGUUGAACCUUUCAACUUUUGACUUGGGAUUUGUGUUCGCGUGUUGUUAACUUGUUACUGACCGACUCAGAAGACAGCGGAUUCUGACUUCACCACGUGUCUCUUUAGUGAAAAUUUAAAAGGCAUUUUUCUUCUGUUCAUAGUUUAAAAUGUAAUGUGAUUAUUAAAAGAUCGUUUGGUAUUAUUUCAAGGAUGGAUGGAUUGGAUGGAAGGGAUAUCUGAUAUAUAUCAUACCCUUCCAAAAUUCAGGACCAUGACGUAUUUAAUAUCCCCCAGCGGAAGACACGUGCCUUGAUGUCUUAUAGGUGGCAAUACACUUCAGCUUCCUCUGCUAAUACGUGUGAGGAUCUUCGGUACCAUGCAGAAAAGACCGCGGUGCUCCUUCCACCGUCCUCAUCCCUCUCUUGGCUUUUUUAAGUCUCCUGCGAUAUCCAAAAUCCAAACAAAGCCGUUAUCGCAGCUAAAAUUCGUCAACCCCAAGUCUCAGGCUACCUUAAUUUCAGUGCCCUUUUUCUUUAUUUUUUUCUAAUAACAGGAGUCCUGGAAAAUGGCUGACUUGCGUGAUGAAUAUGGAAAUCCUAUGCAGUUGACCGACCAGUAUGGCAACCCGGUUCAGCUCAAGGACGAGUAUGGCAACCCAAUGCAGCUUAGCGGUGUAGCUAUCACCGCCGGGACGGCUAGUGCUGUCCAUUCUACUGGAACCGGACCAACUGCUGCCACUGGAACCCAGCAACAUCAGGAGCAGCUUCAUCGGUCUAGCAGCUCAAGCUCUGGCUCGUCGGAGGAUGAUGGACAAGGAGGAAGAAGAAAGAAAAAAGGGUUGAAACAAAAGAUAAAGGAGAAACUAACGGGCGGGAGGCACAAGGACAGAGACGAUCAGGAGCACAUCGAUGAUCAGCACGCGCACAGCGCCUCUCCUCCAACAACCACCACUGGCAGUGGGACGUCUACUACAGUCGGGGGUCAGCAGCAUGAAAAGAAGAGCAUGGUGGAGAAGAUUAUGGAAAAGCUCCCUGGCCAUCACGACACCCGCUAGUUACCUACCACAACAUACUGUGAUCAUCGUGUAAAAUCUCUCCUGAUGCCUAGGAAAUCUAGAUUAUGUUAGGCAUUUUGUUUGGUAUGUAUGUGUGAUUAAGACCUUGUUGUGCGCUUGAAUCUUGAACGUGCAUGGGAUUUGCUUGGUUUGAUUUGAUUUGGUGAAAUAAGUUGUACUAAUGUCUA